rnacentral:lncRNA from 1 species
AAACUUCAAAGUAACGUCAAAUAUAAUUUUCAAAAUAACGUCAAAAAAUACCUCUCUAAUAAAUUUAAUUAAGAACAUCAAAAAAAAAAUAGUUAAUAGUUUUCCAAAUUAAUAAUAUAAUGUGUUGGAAUGUAGCUUAACGAUUCCGCUCUUGUACUCCUGAGGAAGCCAAUAACCAUUGGCGAAAUAUAGAGUUUUCGAGAAAAUAGAAUCGUUUUAAUUUUUGACCGCAAAACCUGAUAAAAAAACACCUUUUUACUUACUAAACGGUCGAUAAGAUAUAAAAAAAAAAAAAA